AGGGCAUCGCCUGCGAUGUCGCGCAGGGACCUGUUUCCAUUCCUCCUCAACUCCUAGGUCCUCUGCCUCUGCCCAACAGCAGCUUGGCAGGGGGUCCAUCCCCAUUUGGGGUGUCUUACCCUGGUGCCUGUCCUUCAGUUCCACAAGUCUAUUUCCCACUCACACUCUCUGAUAUCCCUCAACCUCUCGACCUCCUCCUUGAGUUCUGCCACCAGGCGGAUCAGGUUGUCCACCUGCUCGCACCUCACGCACACAGUCUCUUUGCCCCCCACAGGUGGUAGCAACAGGCUCAGGCACUCCCUGCACCCGGAAACCUGAACUGCUGCACUUUUGAGCAGGCAGUCGGUCUGGGUGUGUACAGACUUCCUGGAGAGCACACUGUGCCUGGUGUACACCAUUGCAGCUGAGCUAGCGGUAGACCGCUGUUGGAGGAGGUGUUCGGAUGCCGUGCUAACUGCUGUGCCACUCCCUUCUGACGCACCACGCCCUCUUUACCCAUCCUGUUAACUGCACCCCACUCCCUUCCAACGCACCACACCCUGUUUGCCCAUCCUGUUAACUGCCGUGCCACUCUCUUCUGACGCGCCACGCCCUGUUUGCCCGUCCUGUUAACUAGAGCGCCAACUGCCGUGCCACUCCCUUCUGAUGCGCCACGCCCUGUUUGCCCGUCCUGGUCGCUCGCGCUCCCUAGGGGCAGCUUUUGAACGGCCGGGGAGGGGGCGCUGCUGGCUCCGCCUAUGCCUCCUUCUCGCCUCGUUCACCUCCCUCACGAGGGCUCCCGGGUCCUGGGGGCUCGGUGCCGGAGAAAUUAGCACUGCCUGUCCAAUCCCCCGCUCUGCUGCGGAACGCGUCUGCCCCGGAGACAAUUGCCUCAGAUGCCUGGACAAACUGAAAUGCAGUAGCAGAAGAUGGCGCCAAAACCUCAGUAACAGAGGAAGGGCUUAGCAGAUACUGGAGCUUUCAAGAGACCAGGCAAGCUUCUCAACUUGAAUCCAACUGAAAAAAAUUUGAGGUUACUUUAAAAGUAACCUCAGAUAGAAGCGAAUGGAAUUCCUGUGAAGUUGUUUCAUGGUGCUUUUAUAUAAUCAGCUACAAAGUUGCUCCAUAGCCUUUAGUAAGUGAGAAAUCAGCUGAGUUUCACUGAAUUAAAAAGUCAGAUCAAACGUACUCUGGGGGCGUAAGAUGUCCUGAAAGGUAAGUUAAAUGCAUUCAGUUUCUAGGACGAUAAGAAUUUUAAGCAAGUAUCAGUGAGCUGAAAGAAAAAAAAAAAAGAAGGAAAAAAAAAAACACACCUCAGCAUAUACUUGGUCUGAGGAACACGUCCAGAGGAAUCUAUGCAUGCAAACCAGUAUUCUGGUCAUUAUCCCAUGGCCCAGCAUCAUGUGGAUGUUUGCACACUGAAUUCCCCAGCUUUACAUCUUUUUAUAGAUCUGUCAAUUACUAAAUAACUGAAUGGAUAUUACAAGUAGAUGGGGGUAUGAUUACCAGAAGCCUGAGAAUUUUCCAUUUGACCUGGAAGAAGAAAGCUCUCAAGGGAGACUGCACACGAACACAGUGUCACCAUUACAAGAAACACCAGAUUCAGAUUUCAAGACCUUCCAUAGGGAGGCACUGGUAGCUUAGCUAUCCAAGUUGUCAUACAGGCUGAUAACUUGCAGCUACCUCCAGAUUAGAGGACCAGGACCGCUGGAAACCAGCUAGCAGCACAGGUUUGGCUGAAUGCCAUGAGAAACAACAAGCAAGCUCAAGGCAAGGGCAGCUGAGAAGCAAGUUUGUGAGAUGAAGAAAUGGGAGUUCACCAAUCCAGCCACAGUAAAGCCAGAAUAUUUGCCUGGCAUGAGCAGCUCUUCCUCAGAAGAAAAAAAUAGAAGAAAAUACAAAGAAAAUAGAAGGAAAUGGCCCAUGCGGAGUAGUGGGCAUUAGUAUGCACUUGGCCAUCUAACUUGGAGAGAAAAGUUCCUAAAUGUUCAGCACCAGAUGAUGACACUGUCCCUGCUAUCUGACUCACUGCAACCUUUCUGUUGUUCCACUUCUGAUGGUCGUUGAAACCAUCACCAGUAGAGGAAAUACAUAUUACUAAAGUCAGUAUGAGACUGGUAUCCUCUGAGAGGUCACUGUUUUAGAAUACAUUAGGAAGAAAGAUUAUAUGCUUUCAGCUGUCUUUUUUUUGAGGAAAAUGGGGAGAGAAACUGCAGGAGAUAUAAGAACAAACUACAAACAGCAAGUUGAGGUAGUGAAAUGCGGGAUAAUCAUACCACAUUUUCUGUAUGUUCACAACAAAAAUACAAAAUAUGUACUCAUACCCUCUUUUUUCUAAUAAUAUAUCAAGAAUACAUGCUGAAAGAUAGCAAUUUAGGACACUUCAUGGACAGUUCCUCCAUGUAACAAAAAAAGCUAAAGUCUGUGUGGCUGGUAUGCCAUCCAGUUAGGCAUAACAAAGACAUACUUGUAUGGGCAAAACACAUCAGUACUGAAACAUGCAAGCAACAAAUAAAUUCCAAUCAAAUGUUUUCUCCAUUUUAAUGAAGGCAAGAGUUUUUGUUACAGACCACAGAGGUCUGAAAUGCAACACGGUAAACGUGGCACUGAGCUCGCUACAAAUAAAAGGCCCAACCUGUGGAAAGAGGGGAAGUUUCCAGGAUCCUACUUUCAGGCAAGCUGCAAAAGAGAGCAGGGCAGCUGGGAAAAAAUCCAUCUGAAACUAAAAUGGAUGUGUUAGGGAC